UCAUGACUAAUGAGUUAAAGGUUUACGUUAAAACUGACAGGAAUUUAAUCAAUAAAAGCAACGUGAUCUAUAAAUAAUAAUAUGACACCGGUAUAUAGGUUUUUAUUGUGCGCUUUCUUUCUUAGUUAAGUAGUUUGCUAGUUAAUGUAAUUAAUGUAUUCCUGUUAAUAUAGUUAAUGUAUUCUUUGCGUAAUUUUUCACACGACUCCUAGGAAGACCAUUUUUAUGAUAAGAUGUCUUGUCUAAAUAAAGAUUAAUUGAUAAUUAUGGUAGAUCUAACAUGUAUCUUGAAAAAUAAACACUUAACUUUGCGAGCAAGGUCUAACAUCUGAACUGUUCUCGAGCAUGAAUUGUUGGCAUAACACAGUGUCUUCACCUAGGCAAUGGACUAGGAGUAGCAAAUGUACUCCUAGUAGCAUCAUGCUGCAGAAAAAAAGAUAAGCUUGGGUAAUGUGGGCUUCCUGAGUGUAGGCAAAAUCAUUCAUUUACUUUAUUUCCUUUAUUACUGGCUCUGAAGGAGCAUGAGAACGACAUACCGGUACAUAAUGAUAGUAAAUCUAACUUCUGUUUUCAAGGCUAAACAUAGUAAUAGUAAGACUUCAAUAGUAAUUAGAUAAGGUCUAACAAACAAAAAGUAGAGCUAAACAAAACAAUUUUGUUCCCAGGACCUCUCUUUGUUUGCCCCCAAGAGCUAGAGAGACCCUGGUAACAAGGUCGUCAGUCAAAGACAAAUUAUGCUGACAAGCAAACUGAACUGUCUCUUUUGUCUCCUGUGUUUCACAGGUUUCUUCUGAAGACAAAAAGAUUACUGUCAGUAAACCCACAGAGUUCCGUCCACAACAAAUCAACCUUUACAACAAGUCAAGGCCAACUCUAUGACACUUCUCAGAAGUAGCCCAGGAAUGGGACUUGGUGGAGUGAAAAUAAACAGUUCUCGACCUCCAAUGCGUCUUGGACUUUCAAGAAAUGUACGGGUCAAACCGCUGCAUUCACAUGUGUCCGUACAACAUUGAAACUGGAACUUGAAAAGAUUUCAUGAACACUGUCUGUUUUCAUCACCAUGUACGCUUGCCAUUCUGUCAAAUGAACCUUUCAGGACAAAAAAACUGAAUCAGAUUGAAAAAUCAAAAUGUAUUCAGUCAUGGAAUUCCUUGCCUGCCAUUUCUUAUCAACAGCAGAAUGAUCUAUUCCAGAUCAGAGACAGUAGUCCUUUACAAGACUCAGGAAGUGAUACAUACACAAACAAGAAACACAAAAUGCUGCAUGUGGUUCUUUGCACUUAAAUCAGUUUUAAUAAACGACAUUGGAAAAAAAAAACUUUUUAGACUGAAAGGUUUAUAUUAAACCAUAAUCAGAAUUUGAAAGUUGCAACACAUUUUUUUUCUCUUAGCUUACAGUCAUGGUAGUGGUAUGCCAUAUUUUUUAGUUCUAAACAUGAUGAUUGUUGAAAUUCGACUGUACAUGAUCAUUGUGUAGUUUAAAGGAAGUUUUAAGGAUAAAUUAUAAUAAAGUGACUGCAGACUCUCUA